UACGGAGGGAGCUAGCGUUAUUCGGAAUUACUGGGCGUAAAGCGCACGUAGGCGGCUUUGUAAGUGAGAGGUGAAAGCCCAGAGCUCAACUCUGGAAUUGCCUUUUAGACUGCAUCGCUUGAAUCAUGGAGAGGUCAGUGGAAUUCCGAGUGUAGAGGUGAAAUUCGUAGAUAUUCGGAAGAACACCAGUGGCGAAGGCGGCUGACUGGACAUGUAUUGACGCUGAGGUGCGAAAGCGUGGGGAGCAAACAGG
rnacentral:rRNA from 1 species